rnacentral:rRNA from 1 species
UACAGAGGUCUCAAGCGUUGUUCGGAUUCAUUGGGCGUAAAGGGUGCGUAGGUGGCGCCGUAAGUCGGGUGUGAAAUUUCGGAGCUUAACUCCGAAACUGCAUUCGAUACUGCGGUGCUUGAGGACUGGAGAGGAGACUGGAAUUCAUGGUGUAGCAGUGAAAUGCGUAGAUAUCAGGAGGAACACCGAUGGCGAAGGCAGGUCUCUGGGCUGAAACUGACGCUCAUGCACGAAAGCGUGGGGAGCAAACAGG